ACGAGCGCAACCCUUAUCUUUAGUUGUCAUCAAGUAAUGUUGGACCCUCUAGAGAGACUGCCGGUGAUAAACCGGAGGAAGGUGGGGAUGACGUCAAAUCAUCAUGCCCCUUAUGAUUUGGGCUACACACGUGCUACAAUGGUCGGUACAACAGGCAGUGAAAGGGUAACCUGGAACGAAUCCUCUAAAGCCGAUCUCAGUUCGGAUUGUGGGCUGCAACUCGCCCACAUGAAGUUGGAGUUGCUAGUAAUCGUGAAUCAGAAUGUCGCGGUGAAUGCGUUCCCGGGUCUUGCACACACCGCCCGU
rnacentral:rRNA from 1 species